GCUUGAGUGGCUCAGUGGUUGAGCAUCUGCCUUUGACUCAGGUCAUGAUCCCAGAGUCCUGGGAUCAAGUCCCACAUUAGGCU
rnacentral:tRNA from 1 species